ACUCGAGUGGCGAACGGGUGAGUAACACGUGGGUGAUCUGCCCUGCACUUCGGGAUAAGCCUGGGAAACUGGGCCUAAUACCGGAUAGGAGCCAUUUUUAGUGUGAUGGUUGGAAAGUUUUUCGGUGUAGGAUGAGCUCGCGGCCUAUCAGCUUGUUGGUGGGGUAAUGGCCUACCAAGGCGGCGACGGGUAGCCGGCCUGAGAGGGUGGACGGCCACAUUGGGACUGAGAUACGGCCCAG
rnacentral:rRNA from 1 species